rnacentral:snRNA from 1 species
CGUUGAAAUCUUUCAAGAUCUAC